AACGAACGCUGGCGGCGUGGAUUAGGCAUGCAAGUCGAACGCGAAAGAGGGGGUAACUCCUCGAGUAGAGUGGCGAACGGGUGAGUAACACGUGAGAAACCUGCCUUCAGCAGGGGGAUAACACUCCCAACGGGGUGCUAAUACCGCAUGAGACCACGGAUUCGCAUGGAUCUGGGGUCAAAGGUGGCCUCUGCUUGCAAGCUACCGGCUGAAGAUGGUCUCGCGUCCCAUUAGCUAGUUGGUGGGGUAAUGGCCUACCAAGGCGACGAUGGGUAGCUGGUCUGAGAGGACGACCAGCCACACUGGGACUGGAGACACGGCCCAGACUCCUACGGGAGGCAGCAGUGGGGAAUAUUGGACAAUGGGNGCAAGCCUGAUCCAGCGAUGCCGCGUG
rnacentral:rRNA from 1 species